rnacentral:rRNA from 1 species
AGCAGCCGCGGUAAUUCCAGCUCCAAUAGCGUAUAUUAAAGUUGUUGCAGUUAAAAAGCUCGUAGUUGAAUUUCGGGGUUAGUAGGUUGGUCAUGCCUCUGGUAUGUACUGGUCUCACUGAUUCCUCCUUCCUGAUGAGCCGUAAUGCCAUUAAUUUGGUGUUGCGGGGAAUUUGGACUGUUACUUUGAAAAAAUUGAGUGUUUAAAGCAAGCUAACGCUUGAAUACAUUAGCAUGGAAUAAUGAAAUAGGACGUUCGAUCCUAUUUUGUUGGUUUCUAGGAUUGACGUAAUGAUUAAUAGGGAUAGUUGGGGGCAUUAGUAUUCAAUUGUCAGAGGUGAAAUUCUUGGAUUUAUUGAAGACUAACUACUGCGAAAGCAUUUGCCAAGGAUGUUUUCAUUAAUCAAGAACGAAAGUUAGGGGAUCGAAGACGAUCAGAUACCGUCGUAGU